CACAGACCAGGCUAGACCAUAGAGAGUGUAAACCGAGACCAGAGAGAUAGCGCCCUCUCUAUGGUGCUGCCCUGCGCAGGCGCCGGCCUGGCUACGCUGGAUUUAGAAAGCGUCGGCCUCUAGCUUUUGCUUCAACGGAGAGCGUUAAUUGACCCUGAUGGGGAUCCGUAAGGUACCCGCUCUCUACUGGACGACUUCGAUGAAAGAAAUUGUGCUCUUCGACUUCCCGUAGAAAGCAGUGACUAUUUUUCCUUUUGCUUCGGGGGCCGGCGCAGAAUUUUUUGCCAGAAACAUAACUUUUUGUCAAUCAUUCCCUUUUGAGGGUGGAGCCCGCCCCAAUGGGGAUUUCUACAAUCCUUGAGUCCGCCAGACUUUUUGAGCACGUCCGUAAAUUAUGCCGCUCUGUGCUCCCUCACGCGUUGUCUUCGGUUGAUUUGUGAAACUGUUGAAGGGUAGAAAACUGAGAAUUGUAUAGCUACCUUCAAGAAUCCUGAAGUUACCACAGUUUUGUCGCAUCAAACCCCUGUGCUCGCCGGUAAUUCGGCUUUGAAAGAACUUUUGUUACGAUUAUAAACUACUUCGAGACACUCUUUAAAAGGAGGGUGGGCUGGCUAAUGUUAUAAAUGAAACAUGCCAGACACAAGCUUAAAUAUCGCACAGUCGCUUAAAUGAAAAAGCCCAAACUAUAACGAACAAAGAAAAGAUAGAUAAUGGAAAAUGAAAAUUGAUCUUUUUCAAAAGUAAGGGGAGCCAAAAGAGGGAAAGAAGAAUGAGGGGAGGGGAUGGGGUUUAAAAAUUUGAGAAGUGUGCCAACUCUCCAGGAGGCAUGUACUCAUUGUGUACUGCAAAUGUACCAAUAUAAAAUAAAAACCGAACAAUAUAAGAAUUUAAAGAAAAACACACUCUUACUGCCAGUUAGUUCUCAAAGAUAAUUACGGGUAAUCAUUAUUUUCUCACUCCAGCUUUUGUUUCCUCAAUGGUUUACAAUGUGUGUGUUACUUUUAUAAUAAGAAACACAAUAAACAGACUGUGGAUCGGC